rnacentral:tRNA from 1 species
UCCCUGGUAGUCUAGUGGUUAAGACUCAGCACUUUCAAUGGAAGGGGUCCGGGUUUGAUCUCUGGUCAGGGAA